rnacentral:lncRNA from 1 species
AACCAGGGGCAGUUGUCCCCUCCGGGGAACACUUGCUAAUGUCUGGACACAGUUUUGGUUGUCACGACUAGGUAAAGGUGUAACUGGCAUUUACUGGGUAGAGGCCAGAGAUGCUGUAAGCAUCCUGUACAAUGUGCAGGACAGUCCCACAACAGAGACUGCCCAGCCCAAAAUGUCAAUAAUGCUGAGGUUCAGAAACCUCGACACAGCAGCAGCAAUGGCUGGUGCUUGUUGGAGGAGGAGGGUGGCUUAACUAGAGUCUUGAAGGAUCAUGAAAGUUAGAAGAGCAGGCAGGAGAGGGGAGCCUUCCAGGAGGGGUCCCAGCACAAGCAAGGAUGGGAGGGAAGACUGUCUGAGGGGUAGUGAGCAGGCUGGCUCAGCUGGAGGGGCGUCUGUGCAGGUGAUGUGUGGAGGGCGUGUGGGGUUUGCUCUCCAGGCCUAAGCAAAUCCUUGGGCUUCCGCUGAGAAACUCCCCAUCCCUGUCCUUGUGGUGAGGAGGGACUUUCAGUCAAAUGACAACACUGUCCCUGAGUCCAGGGGGUAACAUGUGGCCAAGACAGGACCAUCCUGUCCUCCUGUGGGGACCUGAAUGGUGAACAGUGACACAUGAGUGGAUUCACCAUGAUGGCCACACAGAGGACCCAGGAGCUGCCCUGAUGUCCCCAAGCCCCGUGAAUCUGGCUCUUCAUAUUUAAUUUUCCUACAGACUUAACCCAUUUCUUCCUAUAAAUGUCUUCAAAAAAUUAAAUCAAGGAAUCCAGAGUCGGUUUCCAUUGCUUGCACUCGAAGUUGGAUGGGGGUCUGUGGCUUGGGUCUUCCUCUACCUUCCUGCCACAUACCUUCUAGUGCCUGGACCCUGACUGUGGGGACAGUGGAGUCUGCCGAGCAGAUACACACUCCACUGAAUUAUGGGACUGUGGUGUGUUGUGCACUGAUGUUUGCAAGACACACACACACACACACACACACACACAUACACAGAGGAGAGAGGACACAUAGGGACAGCCAGGUUCACAGCAGACACUGAGCAACCACUUUCCUUUCUUCCUUGGUAACAGAGCCACACUUUUGUUCACCCCUCCAGUAGAAAACAAUGUGCUGAAGGAAGGUGGCCCUGCCUCAGCCCUAAGCAGAGCAAAGUGAUUGGUCAGUGGUUCAAAGCCAAUCACAGUAAUCCUCUCCCCUUUGCUUGUGAUUGGUUUGCGAGUAGGCCUGUCAUCCAGUUCUAUUAAUAGCUAAUGGGACCUAAGAGACAUCUACUAGAGGCUUCCGGGAAAGCCUUCCCAAGCCACACAGGAGAAAAAUCUCCCAGCUCUCCUUCCCUUCCUCUGUUCUGGACACAGGCUGGUGAUGCUGGAGCCACAACAACCACCGGAAACCCCAAGGCGAAGACCAGAGAAUCCCAGAGAUGCAGACAGAGACUUCCUAGAGCUACAGAGUAAGCCAAAUUGGAGUUGCCUUUUCUGGACGUCUUGUUAAGUCUGAUGGGGUUCAUCACAUCUGAGCCAGGACUGGCUUUUCUUGGCUGCAAGCUGAAAGUUGGGUCCAGGUCUGCUGUACUGAGGGUCUCCUAUCUUCCUUGGACAGGGACAACCAGAGGCCUAUUUAUCUCAUGAUGGAAGGCAGGAGAACAAGCAGGCAAGACCAGCUGUGCUAGCACAUGCCACCUCUUUGCCCACGUCACACCUGCUGACGUCCCAUUGGCCAAUGCAAGUCACACAACCAAAGCCAACAUCAACAGGACAAGGAAACAGACUCUGCCUCUAGAUG